rnacentral:rRNA from 1 species
UACGUAGGGGCAAGCGUUGUCCGGAUUUAUUGGGCGUAAAGAGCGUGUAGGCGGCUGGGUAGGUCCGUUGUGAAAACUCGAGGCUCAACCUCGAGACGCCGAUGGAAACCCCCAGCUAGAGUCCGGAAGAGGAGAGUGGAAUUCCUGGUGUAGCGGUGAAAUGCGCAGAUAUCAGGAGGAACACCGGUGGCGAAGGCGGAUCUCUGGGCCUUACCUGACGCUGAGGCGCGAAAGCUAGGGGAGCGAACAGG